rnacentral:rRNA from 1 species
GACGAACGCUGGCGGCGUGCUUAACACAUGCAAGUCGAACGAAGAGCGAUGGACGCUUGCUUCUAUCAAUCUUAGUGGCGAACGGGUGAGUAACGCGUAAUCAACCUGCCCUUCAGUGGGGGACAACAGUUGGAAACGACUGCUAAUACCGCAUACGAUCUAAUCUCGGCAUCGAGGAAAGAUGAAAGGUGGCCUCUAUUUAUAAGCUAUCACUGAAGGAGGUGAUUGCGUCUGAUUAGCUAGUUGGAGGGGUAACGGCCCACCAAGGCGAUGAUCAGUAGCCGGUCUGAGAGGAUGAACGGCCACAUUGGGACUGAGACACGGCCCAGACUCCUACGGGAGGCAGCAGGGGGGAAUCUUCCGCAAUGGACGAAAGUCUGACGGAGCAACGCCGCGUGAGUGAUGACGGCCUUCGGGUUGUAAAGCUCUGUUAAUCGGGACGAAAGGCCUUCUUGCGAACAGUUAGAAGGAUUGACGGUACCGGAAUAGAAAGCCACGGCUAACUACGUG